UCACUCUGUCUCUCUCUCUCUUCCUCGGCCGCACACUUAAUUCUCUCCUCCCUCCUUUCCACUUCUCUCUGCCAUCAUCGGAGACCACCACUUCCGGCCACCAAUUCACAACACCGCUACCGCCAAUCAAUUCUGGACCCAAUUCCGAUCAAAACCCAAGAAGAUCACUGCCAUCCACCGCCGCCAGCCUCAUCACGCGACCAUCAAAGUCGCGACGGCGCUGCUCCAUAGCUCUCAUCAAGUUUCCGCCAUUUCCUCAACACCCCCCAUCAGCGUGCGCAGAGCAAGCCGGACAUCAAAAUACAGAAGCCUCGCCGCCGGCCGUACCUCGAAGGACCCCGCACGUUCCAUCGCCGGAAUCCUAGGACCCUGGGUUUCUCCGGUCUUCCUUCUCCAAAUCGAAUCGAGCUCCAAUAUCUCCAAGAAUGGAGUCAGUGCCUCUCCUUUUAUGAAAACCAAGGGCCCGACUUCUGAUUUCAACCAGAGCCACCGCGGACGCCGCGGGAUUAUCCCCUUCG
rnacentral:lncRNA from 1 species